CCUACGGGCGGCAGCAGUCGAGAAUCAUUCACAAUGGGGGAAACCCUGAUGGUGCGACGCCGCGUGGGGGAAUGAAGGUCUUCGGAUUGUAAACCCCUGUCAUGUGGGAGCAAAUUAAAAAGAUAGUACCACAAGAGGAAGAGACGGCUAACUCUGUGCCAGCAGCCGCGGUAAUACAGAGGUCCCAAGCGUUGUUCGGAAUCACGGGGCGUAAGGCGUGCGUAGGCUGUUUCGUAAGUCGUGUGUGAAAGGCGCGGGCUCAACCCGCGGACGGCACAUGAUACUGCGAGACUAGAGUAAUGGAGGGGGAACCGGAAUUCUAGGUGUAGCAGUGAAAUGCGUAGAUAUCGGGAGGAACACUCGUGGCGAAGGCGGGUUCCUGGACAUUAACUGACGCUGAGGCACGAAGGCCAGGGGAGCGAAAGGGAUUAGAUACCCCAGUAGUC
rnacentral:rRNA from 1 species